GUGCUGUGAAGCUGGAAGCACCUGAGGCCUUUUCCUUGGAGGUUCAGACUGUGUUUGGUGCUGCUGAACUUUACAGGAAUAUGAAGAUGAAGUUAAUGGGUUAUCAAGUGCCAGUUACAAAAAUUACAGUUUCUGAGUGCUGUCUACAGAAUAGGACAUGUUCUGAUUGAUCAUCACUGGGGAAAUCUACCUCGGUACAGAGGGAGAGGACUGCAAAUGGUGAAUGGCAUCAGAAGAAAAGGGAAUUCAUUAAGAGACAAAGGGGGAGAAUUGUGAAGAUGAAAGAGUCACCUGUGUUUCAACUCUGCUGAAGAUAAAUGGAGCUGUAGAAGUUAUAAAAGAUUUCAGCCAUGAUUACUUUAAACAAAAGCCCUUCCAGAAGCAGAUGUAGCUUUAGAUAGCUC
rnacentral:lncRNA from 1 species